rnacentral:tRNA from 1 species
AGCUAUAUAGUUUAAGCUAAAACAAUAAUUUUGUAAAUUAUAAAUAAAAAAUAUUUUUAUAGCUA